UCGAUCGAAUUUUUUUUCGGU
rnacentral:piRNA from 1 species